rnacentral:lncRNA from 1 species
GCAAAGCAAAGCACAUUUCUUCCCAAGCAGCAAGCUAAACCACAUCCGAUCCAUCGAGCGCAGCUAGCAGCUAACACAACAGCAAGACAGCAUCAUGGCUCGCGCUCAGGUGGUGGUGCUCGCCGUCGUGGCCGUGGUGCUGCUCGCCGCGGCGGCCUCCGAGGCCGCCAUCAGCUGCGGCCAGGUCAACUCCGCCAUCGGCCAGUGCCUCCCUUACGCCCGCGGCCAGGGCUCCAAACCCUCCGACGCCUGCUGCAGCGGCGUCAGGAGACUCAACUCCGCCGCCACGACCACCGCCGACAGGCGCGCCGCAUGCAACUGCCUCAAGAACGCCGCCAGGGGGAUCAGCGGCCUCAACGCCGGCAACGCCGCCAGCAUCCCAUCCAAGUGCGGCGUCAGCAUCCCCUACUCCAUCAGCACCUCCACCGACUGCUCCAGGUAACUAUUAAUUAACACCUAUGGAUCCAUCAUGCAUCUCUCAUCGAUCCCCAAAUUAAAGUACAAGCAUUUCGAUUAAAAUUCUUGCUUCGAUCAUGCAGGGUGAGCUAAACGACCGCUCCGAAGCCUGCCUGCCUCCACCGUCGCUACAUACCUAUACAUGUAUGAGUUGACUGAUGAAUAAGAUCUCUCUCCGCCGUCGUGUACGCUAUUAUACGCUUGCUGGUAGUGUGUGCGUCGUCCUUCAUGUGUGAGAGAGGAGUCCUCCGAUCCUUGUGUCGUCGUCAUCCCUGCUACGUUUU